rnacentral:misc_RNA from 1 species
ACAAAUCAGUUAUAUGGCUUCGGCCAUAUAAAUUAACCCCAAGCCUGGAAUUGUAAUACACAAGACCGGGGCUUUGGUUGGGAGUGCGCUUCGGUGCGCUGGCCACAUUGACGCUUGUAUUGUUUGACAGAGUAUAGUUGCAUUAAAAAAUA